CACAAUGGGCGAAAGCCUGAUGCAGCGAUACCGCGUGGGUGAAGAAGGCCCUCGGGUCGUAAAGCCCUGUCAGAGGGAAAGAUAAUGACGGUACCCUCUAAGGAAGCCACGGCUAAUUACGUGCCAGCAGCCGCGGUAAUACGUAAGUGGCGAGCGUUAUCCGGAAUUACUGGGCGUAAAGCGUGCGUAGGCGGUUCAGUGUGUGGGAAUUGAAAGCCCGGGGCUCAACUCCGGAUCCGGUUCCCAAACUGCUGGACUCGAGCGUAUCAGAGGACAGUGGAAUUCCCGGUGUAGCGGUAAUAUGCGUAGAUAUCGGGAGGAACACCAGUGGCGAAGGCGACUGUCUGGGGUAUUGCUGACGCUGAGGCACGAAAGCCAGGGGAGCGAACGGGAUUAGAUACCCCGGUAGUCCUGGCCUUAAACGAUGAUCACUAGGUGUAGGAGGCUUCGACCCCUUCUGCGCCGCCGCUGACGCAUUAAGUGAUCCGCCUGGGGAGUACGGCCGCAAGGUUA
rnacentral:rRNA from 1 species